GGCUGAACAGCAACUGGGAGGAAUGAGUGGCAAUAGCUAAUUGUAUUUAAAAAUAUUUUUUACGAUUUCGAUUUUGUCGAAUAAAAUUCUAGAUAGAUUUAUGAUAAUGACAUUAUCUAUCUACCUGUCUUGACUAAAUUACGUGCCAGCUGUCGCGGUAAUACGUAGAAGACUAGUGUUAUUCAUCUUCAAUAGGUUUAAAGUGUACCCAGACGGUUAAUAUAGCCCAUAAAGGGUACUAUAUUUAGCUAGAGUUUAUAUGUAUUGGUGCAAGAAGGUACUGUUGAGUGUAGAGAUGAAAUUCUGUCAUACCAGAUGAGUGGCACGGGUUUAGGCGAAAGCAUCACCUUAUGUAAUAACUGACGUUGGCGGACGAAGGCUUGACAAACAAAAAGGAUUAGGUACCCAAGUAGUUCCUGCAGAUAAUGAUGAAUGUCAUAGGUUAAAUAUUUAUUAUUUGGUCUAUAAAUGAAAGUGUAAGCAUUCCACCUCAAGAGUAAUUUGGCAACAUUGGAAUUGAAAUCAUUAGACCGUUUCUGAAACCAGUAGUGAAGUAUGUUGUUUAAUUUGAUAAUCCGCAAAAAACCUCACCACAAUUUGAAUAUAAAUAGUAAUUUAUACAAGCGUUGCACGGCUGUCUUUAGUUAAUAUCGUGAGAUUUUGGUUAGUUCCAUAAAAUUAACGUAAACCCUUACUUUAUUUUUAAAUAAAGUUGUUCACCGCUAGAUUGGAUAUGAUAACAGGGACUAUGACAAGUCAUCAUGCCCUAAUAUU
rnacentral:rRNA from 2 species